AGUAGGGAAUCUUCCGCAAUGGACGAAAGUCUGACGGAGCAACGCCGCGUGAGCGAUGAAGGCCUUCGGGUCGUAAAGCUCUGUUGUUAGGGAAGAACAAGUACCGUUCGAAUAGGGCGGUACCUUGACGGUACCUAACCAGAAAGCCACGGCUAACUACGUGCCAGCAGCCGCGGUAAUACGUAGGUGGCAAGCGUUGUCCGGAAUUAUUGGGCGUAAAGCGCGCGCAGGCGGUCUUUUAAGUCUGAUGUGAAAGCCCCCGGCUCAACCGGGGAGGGUCAUUGGAAACUGGGAGACUUGAGUGCAGAAGAGGAAAGUGGAAUUCCAUGUGUAGCGGUGAAAUGCGUAGAGAUAUGGAGGAACACCAGUGGCGAAGGCGACUUUCUGGUCUGUAACUGACACUGAGGCGCGAAAGCGUGGGGAGCAAA
rnacentral:rRNA from 1 species